rnacentral:rRNA from 1 species
UACAGAGGGUGCGAGCGUUGUCCGGAAUCACUGGGCGUAAAGGGCGCGUAGGCGGCUUGAUAAGCGUGCGGUGAAAGCCCGGGGCUCAACCCCGGGUCGGCCGUGCGAACUGUCGAGCUGGAGCACUGUAGAGGCAGGUGGAAUUCCGGGUGUAGCGGUGGAAUGCGCAGAUAUCAGGAGGAACACCAAUUGCGAAGGCAGCUCGCUGGGACGUCACUGACGCUGAGACGCGAAAGCGUGGGGAGCAAACAGG